UACGGAGGGAGCUAGCGUUAUUCGGAAUUACUGGGCGUAAAGCGCACGUAGGCGGCUUUGUAAGUUAGAGGUGAAAGCCUGGAGCUCAACUCCAGAAUUGCCUUUAAGACUGCAUCGCUUGAAUCCGGGAGAGGUGAGUGGAAUUCCGAGUGUAGAGGUGAAAUUCGUAGAUAUUCGGAAGAACACCAGUGGCGAAGGCGGCUCACUGGACCGGUAUUGACGCUGAGGUGCGAAAGCGUGGGGAGCAAACAGG
rnacentral:rRNA from 1 species